rnacentral:rRNA from 1 species
UAGUGAUAGCUGGUUACUCAAGAAAAGGAUUUUAGUCCAACCUAAAGCUUUCCCCAAUUAGUAAAAAUUUCUUUAUAGCUUUAGAGCAAUUCAAGUAAGGUACAGCCUAUUUGAAACAGGAUACAACCUCAACUGAUGGGUAAAUUAAACUUUUUAUUACAACCAAGUAGGCCUAAAAGCAGCCACCUUUGUAAUAGCGUCAGAGCUUAUUUGUAAAAACCCUUAAUCCCUUAAGCCCCCUUUAACCCUCUAAUAGUAUUGAGUAAUUCUAUUCACUUUAUAGAACUUAUAAUGUUAAAACUAGUAAUAAGAAGUCAAACCUUCUCCUAAAUGCAUGUGUAAAUCAGAAAGGAUACCCCACUGAUAAUUAACGUCUAUGAGCCUAUAUUAGCAACUCCACAAGAAAACCCUAAUACUUCCUACGUUAACCUAACACAAGAACAUUACAAGAAAGAUUUAAAGAAAAAGAAGGAACUCGGCAAAUCAUUAACCCCGCCUGUUUACCAAAAACAUCGCCUCUUGAAUAAAAUAAGAGGUCCAGCCUGCCCAGUGACCCCAGUUCAACGGCCGCGGUAUCCUAACCGCGCGAAGGUAGCGUAAUCACUUGUUCUUUAAAUUAGGACUAGUAUGAACGGCAUCACGAGGGUUACACUGUCUCCUUUUUCUAAUCAAUGAAACUAAUCUCCCCGUGAAGAAGCGGGGAUAUAACUAUAAGACGAGAAGACCCUAUGGAGCUUCAAAUUUUUAUUUCAACUGCCGCACUUAUAUAAAAGUUCUGACUAAUUACAUGUUACUUAGCACUAUGAAAAUAAAUUUUAGGUUGGGGCGACCACGGAGAAUAAAAAAACCUCCGCAUUGAAUUUAGGCUUCCAGCCUUGAACUAAGAGCUACAACUCUAUGUACUAAAACAUUAACAUGCAUUGACCCAAUUAUUUGAUCAACGAACCAAGUUACCCUAGGGAUAACAGCGCAAUCCACUUUAAGAGCUCCUAUCGACAGGUGGGUUUACGACCUCGAUGUUGGAUCAGGGUAUCCCAGUGGUGCAGCCGCUACUAAAGGUUCGUUUGUUCAACGAUUAAAACCCU